GCGAUUCCGGCGGGGGAUGGGCAUGCGGCGCAUUAGCUAGUCGGCGGGGUAACGGCCCACCGAGGCGACGAUGCGUAGGGGUUCUGAGAGGAAGGUCCCCCACACUGGUACUGAGACACGGACCAGACUCCUACGGGAGGCAGCAGUGAGGAAUAUUGGUCAAUGGGCGGGAGCCUGAACCAGCCAAGUCGCGUGAGGGAAGACGGUCCUAUGGAUUGUAAACCUCUUUUGCCGGGGAGCAACGGGGUCCUUGCGAGGGCCUAAUGAGAGUACCCGGAGAAAAAGCAUCGGCUAACUCCGUGCCAGCAGCCGCGGUAAUACGGAGGAUGCGAGCGUUAUCCGGAUUUAUUGGGUUUAAAGGGUGCGUAGGCGGGCUGUUAAGUCAGCGGUCAAAUGUCGGGGCUCAACCCCGGCCUGCCGUUGAAACUGGCGGCCUCGAGUGGGCGAGAAGUAUGCGGAAUGCGUGGUGUAGCGGUGAAAUGCAUAGAUAUCACGCAGAACUCCGAUUGCGAAGGCAGCAUACCGGCGCCCUACUGACGCUGAGGCACGAAAGCGUGGGUAUCGAACAGGAUUAGAUACCCUGGUAGUCCACGCAGUAAACGAUGAAUGCUA
rnacentral:rRNA from 1 species